GCCGAAAUAGCUCAGUUGGUAGAGCAACUCAUUCGUAAUGAGUAGGUCGCCGGUUCGAGUCCGGCUCUCGGCU
rnacentral:tRNA from 2 species